rnacentral:rRNA from 1 species
CAGCAGCCGCGGUAAUACGUAGGUGGCAAGCGUUGUCCGGAAUUAUUGGGCGUAAAGGGCUCGCAGGCGGGUUUCUUAAGUCUGAUGUGAAAGCCCCCGGCUCAACCUGGGGAGGGUCAUUGGAAACUGGGGACCUUGAGUGCAGAAGAGGAGAGUGGAAUUCCACGUGUAGCGGUGAAAUGCGUAGAGAUGUGGAGGAACACCAGUGGCGAAGGCGACUCUCUGGUCUGUAACUGACGCUGAGGAGCGAAAGCGUGGGGAGCGAACAGGAUUAGAUACCCUGGUACUCCACGCCGUAAACGAUGAGUGCUAAGUGUUAGGGGGUCUCCGCCCCUUAGUGCUGCAGCUAACGCAUUAAGCACUCCGCCUGGGGAGUACGCUCGUAAGACUGAAACUCAAA